rnacentral:ncRNA from 1 species
UACUGCAAGGAGUCUAAUUUGUCGGGCAUUUGGAUAAAAUGAAACGUAAUGCAUUGUGCAUUACACAUCACAUGCUUUUGUGGUGGGGAUUGCAAUUAUUCCCCAUGAAUGAGGAAUUCCCAGUAAGUGUGGGGCAUAAACUCACUUUGAUUAAGUCCCUG